AUCUAACUGAUGAGUCCUAUAUAGGACAAAAUGCGUGUCAAACUGGAU
rnacentral:hammerhead_ribozyme from 1 species